rnacentral:rRNA from 1 species
UGGGGAAUUUUGGACAAUGGGGGAAACCCUGAUCCAGCCAUCCCGCGUGUGCGAUGAAGGCCUUCGGGUUGUAAAGCACUUUUGGCAGGAAAGAAACGUCGCGGGUUAAUACCCCGCGAAACUGACGGUACCUGCAGAAUAAGCACCGGCUAACUACGUGCCAGCAGCCGCGGUAAUACGUAGGGUGCAAGCGUUAAUCGGAAUUACUGGGCGUAAAGCGUGCGCAGGCGGUUCGGAAAGAAAGAUGUGAAAUCCCAGAGCUUAACUUUGGGAACUGCAUUUUUAACUACCGGGCUAGAGUGUGUCAGAGGGAGGUGGAAUUCCGCGUGUAGCAGUGAAAUGCGUAGAUAUGCGGAGGAACACCGAUGGCGAAGGCAGCCUCCUGGGAUAACACUGACGCUCAUGCACGAAAGCGUGGGGAGCAAACAGGAUUAGAUACCCUGGUAGUCCACGCCCUAAACGAUGUCAACUAGCUGUUGGGGCCUUCGGGCCUUGGUAGCGCAGCUAACGCGUGAAGUUGACCGCCUGGGGAGUACGGUCGCAAGAUUAAAACUUAAAUGAAUUGAC